rnacentral:lncRNA from 1 species
UUUGCCUCCGUUGCGGGAACUUAUACAAAAGAUCCUUCUCAAGGCCACUCUUGAGAUGUCUCUGGCCUGAAGAAGCAGGUUAUAUGCUUAGGGAGAUUCAUGAAGGUGUUUGCAAAAAUCAUUCCGGGGCAAGAUCACUUGUUAGAAAGGUAGUUUGCCAAGGAUAUUUCUAGCCUAGCAUAGAAAAAGAUACAUCGGUAUUCAUUAGGAAGUGUGACAAAUGUCAGAGAUUUGCUCCAAUUAGCCAUCUACCCUAUACCGAGAUGGUCCAUAUGUCUAGCCCAUGGCCAUUUGCUCAAUGGGGGAUAAACGUGCUUAGACCUCUGCCUGAAGCUCUAUUAUAAAAGAAAUUCUUGAUAGUCGCCAUAGACUACUUCACGAUGGGUAAAAGUGGAACCUCUCGCCAAAAUCACUGAAAAGAACACCAGGAAUUUUGUUUGGAAGAAUAUCGUUUGUCGAUUUGGGAUUCCAAAAGUUAUAGUCUCCGAUAACUCCAAGCAAUUCGACAAUGAUGGGUUCAAGCUAUUUUGUUUAGACCUCUCUAUUUUUAACCAUUUCUCUUUACCAGGUCAUCUUCAGGAAAGUGGUCAAGUUGAAAUUACCAACAGAACAGUCCUAAAAAUUUUAAAGGUAAGGUUACCUUUCGAGUGUACUAUGGGCCUACCAGACAAUGAGCAAAAUCUCUACGGGCGCUAUGCCAUACUCCAUGGUGUAUGGGAGAGAAUCAAUCAUCUCGGUAGAAAUAGGAAUGCUGAGCUUCAGGACACUAAAUAUGGACAAGGAAACCAACGAAGUAGAGUUAAGGCUUAACCUUGAUCUCUUUGACGAAAGGAGGGAGCAAGCUAAGGUGCGCCUACAAGCUUCAAAUCGCCAAGUACUAUAAUCAGAGGGUUAAGCACAGGUUAUUUUUGACUGGCAAAUUGGUCUUAAGGAAAGUCACUUUGUUUACUAAGGAGAUUAACACUAGGAAGCUUGGCCCUAAGUGGGAAGGUCCCUACAAAGUGGUCAAGGUGUCCAAACCAGGAACUUAUUGGCUAGAGGAUAUGAAAGGGAAAACAUUGCCUCAUCCUUGGAAUGUUGAACACUUGAAAAAGUAUUACCAGUAGUCCAUUUGGUCAACAUGAGAAAAAGGUCGCCCAAGCAACGUAAUGUCGCAAAGAUCAUGUUAUUGUAAAGAACUACUGAUUAUGAUCGUCAAAAUCCUAUGUAACUAUGGUUGCCUUAAUAAAAUCACAAUUUUAUAGUUCAAUAUCGUUAUAUCGCUAGUCACCAAUAUUUGCCUAAGUGAAUUAUGUCACUAAUUUCAAAUUUUAAUCGCCAUGAUGUCACCAGUUUCGCCAUAUAAACCGAUUAAAACAAACUUAUUGUUAUCGCUAAUGUCAAGAUUGCCUAAUUGCUUCUUCUUGUGCAAUUUGCAAAUGAUUCGCCAAGGCAUCUUGAUCACCAAAACGAGUCGCCUGAUUAUUCAAGUUGCAAUGGUAAGGUCUGAUGUUUGCCUGAGUUAAGUUAACUUAAACCUGUUCACCAUAAUUAAGUUUGUUAUUACGUUUACCUGAUUAAGGUGAAUUAAACUUAAUAUGUUCACAUGAUGAUUCUACUCACCAAUUUAUUAAGUGGUACUCGCCUAAGUAUAUCUCGCCAAUAUCAUAGAUCACGAUGUCGCCAAUAGAAGUAGAUAUUAGAGAAGAAACACAUAAGUAUAAAGAAAUAGUUAAUUUUAUUGAUAUCGCCAUUACAUUACAAAAAAAAGAGGAAGUACAACGAAAUGACUAUUAAGGUGGAGAGUUGUUAUUAAUCUCACCCUUCUCUUCUUCGUCCUCUUCAUCCUCCUCUUCCUCUAGAUCAGCGUCAAUCCCUAUGUCUUAGAUAUCGAGGUCUGGAUGGAGGCAUCCAAUCUGCUUCUUGGAUAAGUCAAAACCCUCGCCAAAGUAUCUGAAAGCUGCUAGCUCAACAACUUCGUGGAAGUCAUCCGAGGACUUGUAUUCCUCGAUGACUGACUCCUUGGCGACGACUGACUACUUCUUUAGCUCAGCUAUCUCCUUUUCGAGCCUAGCCAUGGUGGCAUCGUUAUCCUCCUUCAUUCUCUUCAACUCUUCAACUUUCCAAUGGCAUGCCGCUUCUAGGCCCUGAGAUCGACCACUUGUUUCUCCAACUUUGCGGCCACUUGCUGAGCACGGGUCAUCUCGAUUUUGACCAAGGCAGCACGGGCCUGUUGGGUCAUCGCUUCUUCUCUCAUUUGCCUACCACGUCUGAUGAGGGAAGACUCGAGCACCACCGCCUAAAAAAGAAAGAGUGAAUUCUUCAGAGAAAUGAAAAUGCAAAAGUAUUAAACUUAAAUAUAAAAAUAAAUAAUUACCUGACCGACAACAUGGAAGAACUGUGAGAUUGCUCGAUUGAGGUCCAAUCUCCCCACCUCAUCCUUGUCGGCAAGCGAGAUUACCCCCUUAAAGAGUUUCUCCUCCACGACGGGAGGGAUUCCCCAGCAUGGAGACCUUGAUCCCCAAAACAACGCCAGGGUGGCCAUGGUUCCCUCCCCAGGAGCUACAAUAGGUAAAGCCCCCUUGCUCGUCGCCUUGCUUGAUGAUGCCCUAGGCUUGGCUAAGGCCUUGGUAGAGGACCCCUUUUUUUGUCCUCUAUUAGCGGCAUAACCCCCUUCUUUUUAGAGUUAGCUGAUGAUUUGCCCUUCUUCAAGGGCAAGAUGUUGGGCUUCUCGUCCUUUGGGCGUUUCUCGCCAAUGACGAUCUCCUUUGAUGCUGGGGUCGUGCUCUUCGGCUUUGCUCCUUACGCCCUUUGGGCAAGCUUCUUGAGGCUGAUUCUUUUUGAUAUAGCUGCAAAAGAAAACUAAUGUCAGUUAAUGGAAAAGGUAAAAUACUUGAAGAAGAAAGAAGGCAGUACCAUCUGAUUUGAGCUCGGGGGCAACCAUGGUUCUAACCAGGCCUCCGACUAGAGCUCGAGCUUGAGCUUGAGCUACUUGGUUCCCAACUAAGGAAAGAGGGUCGAAGAUUUGCCCCAAGAAGUGUUAGCAGUAUCCUAUCAGGAAGACACGAUAAAACUCUUAUAUGCCUCUUCCUGAUGAUCCCUAGGUAUUCUACUGAGUCAUCUCGGGAAUUGUCACCUUGGCGAGGAUUGUCUCGGGAAUGAUGGGACUCACCCUCAUCGCCCGUAACUAGAGCUGCAUUGCCUACCUUUAUAUCCUCGGCACUGUCCAUGCCACUGGACGCCAUUGAUUUGGAGGCGAGUCCGAAGCUCCUAAGGAAGGACUUAGUGUCGAGAACUUCCUUGAUUGUAAAGAAGUCCCCUCCAUUAGUGAGUCCAAGAUCCCACUUAUUAGUCAGUCCUAGACAAGACAAGCGGUUUGUUGUCGCGCUUACCUAAAAAUGGUAGAACACUUAUUAGUCAAGGGAAAAGUGCGACACUUGAUAACUAAAAGAACGACUUAAUGGAUAAAGAUUGACCUGGGGUGCCCUACAACCUCGAGAUCCUUGGACCCCCAGCGUACCUAGAGAUCCCCGGGGAGAACUCCCAGUCCUCUCCUGAGAUGAAAAAGAUUUUCUUCUUCCAUCCCUUGACAUUUCUAGGGUACCCCCGAGUAGAGCCAUCUAGAGUCUAGCUUCGGGGUUUUAUACAGGCUGAACAGGCUCUUGAACUCGUUGAGGAAAAGGGCGAAGUUAUGAGCUUGCCAUAGUACCAUCAUGUAGAUGACACUUUGCCACGCAUUGGGAAUGAGCUCGGCAAGGCAGAUGUUAUAGAAGUACAAGAUCUUCCUAAUAGUGGGAUGGAUUGGAAGACAAAGACUGGCUUGAAAAGUGGCCUCAUAAAAGGCCAUCCCGCCCAGGUGAGUAGACUCUAUGGUCUCGUCCACCUCGAGUAACCUGAUGUGAAUGCCUAACGGAAUGGAACAUGACUCUAAGGCGAUGCAGCUCGUCUUGAGUCAUGGUAUUAGUUUCUCUCUCAAUUUGAGGUGGAGUAACAGGUGAGGGACUACCCUCAGGACUAGGGUUCCUCCCUAGGGGAGGAAGGAAGUGUAUUAACCUCGUCGGUCAUAUAUGACUUUUCUCCUAGGUGAUCGAAAAUCUAGGAGGGUAGAAAGUUUUCUAAAUUUUCUACGUCGCCGUUACCGGACAUAAAAUACAGACUAAAGAUUAAAAGUGGAUGGCUAAUACUUACUGAAUGACUUAGAUGAUGGCGAGAUGGCAAGCUGACAAGGGCGAGGUUCACGUUGGAGCGAAAGCAACACUUCAUUAUCACUGGCAAUAGAAGAGUACGCUGUGUGGUAGAACCCAUAUUUUAUAGAGGGCACCAAGGGCUGAGAUCUAUUUGUUUCAAAGGAUAGGAUCGCGCGGCUCUUUGAAUUCUGAGGUAAUAACCGUCGUCUGAAGGUGAAAUACACUUCGCCAUAAAUGCAUUGUCACAUGUCUCCCAGCUAGGGAAUGCCAUCAUUACAUGCUUGCAUCAUCCAUCUACACCCCAUAACUCAUUGUUCGAUGAUGCCGAGUGCGUCACCUCGGCACAUCGAGUAGGAGUAACUAAUGAAAGGAAAAUUCUCCACCUGUUGAUAGCCCGAGAUGGGCACGUUGCCCAGUAGGAUCAUGUUGUCAACGUCUCUCAUGAUCGAGAUUGGACUCGCCUAAACUCUAUGACCAACCUGACUGCUUUUUGAAUGUCACCUCGUCAAAGACCAAGGUGGACAAGAUCGCCCACUACUCUAAGGAUAAGAUCAACGCGAGAUUCCACCACCUCCUGGACUCCUGCAUUUACGGUACUAUCUUCGUAUGUGAUUCUCCUCAUUUUUCUUCGAUAUCCUCGGGAUCGGCUUCCAUACUUAGCAACCCGAUGAUUUCACUGUGAUCUUCUCGCACGGCACUCCAUUCUCCAUCUAUAAAAGACUGCUCCCCCUCCACCAUAGGGAGGUAUGAAAAACUGCUCUCUCAAUCUUUGAGCUUUAAACACUUUUACUGGUUGUGCUGUCUAGUUUGCUCGCCUUAAUCUGAUCUCCAUGC